rnacentral:rRNA from 1 species
GCUCAGAUUGAACGCUGGCGGAAUGCUUUACACAUGCAAGUCGAGCGGCAGCGCGGGGCAACCUGGCGGCGAGCGGCGAACGGGUGAGUAACACAUCGGAACGUACCCUGUUGUGGGGGAUAGCCCGGCGAAAGCCGGAUUAAUACCGCAUAAGACCUGAGGGUGAAAGCGGGGGACCGCAAUGCCUCGCGCGACAGGAGCGGCCGAUGGCGGAUUAGCUAGUUGGUGGGGUAAAGGCUCACCAAGGCGACGAUCCGUAGCUGGUCUGAGAGGAUGAUCAGCCACACUGGAACUGAGACACGGUCCAGACUCCUACGGGAGGCAGCAGUGGGGAAUUUUGGACAAUGGGGGCAACCCUGAUCCAGCCAUUCCGCGUGAGUGAAGAAGGCCUUCGGGUUGUAAAGCUCUUUCGGCAGGAACGAAACGGUGGGCUCUAACAUAGUCUGCUAAUGACGGUACCUGAAGAAGAAGCACCGGCUAACUACGUGCCAGCAGCCGCGGUAAUACGUACGGUGCGAGCGUUAAUCGGAAUUACUGGGCGUAAAGCGUGCGCAGGCGGUUUCGUAAGACAGAUGUGAAGUCCCCGGGCUUAACCUGGGAACUGCGUUUGUGACUGCGACACUGGAGUGUGGCACAGGGGGGUGGAAU